ensembl:lncRNA
CAUAUGUGUACAGUUAACUGACAACACACACUAAAGGCACGAAUGGUAUCCAAGUGGAUAUAAGUGAAUUCACAGGGCAUUUUUGAGGUUUGCAAGUUGACUGCACGACGCCUACUCAGAUAGAACCACCCAAAAUAUAAAACUGUGUUCUUCUCUUUCCAGACUUGGGUCAAGUUGUAUUUUUAAAUAAUUGUAGUGGUUUUUAAACUUGCUGGGAGAGCCAGAUUCUUCAGAUUGUUAAUGAAGUGGUUUUAUGUCACUCAAAAGUGAGAGCUGAACCAGACCUGUACCAACUCCUCUAAAUCUUUACCUCUUCCAACUGGGCAGGGUAUAAAUCCUCACAGAAUAAGGCUUGCAAUACUCUAUUUUCUUUACAGUCAACAAAUUUCAAACCAAAACUCAGUUCUUUCUGUGCUUUAUUAGCCUGAAGCCCAUUUAUACAACUAGCAAUGGCAACCUUUCUGAAUAGAUAACAAAAUAUAAUUUUAUAAAUUUCAUAUCUUACAUUUUGUGUUUGUAGAGUAUUUUUUUCAAUUAUUUUUUUAAACUUAGUUACUGUAGACUUUAGAAAUGUUUUUCAACUUAAAAACUACUUGGGUUGGUGCUAGUAAUUUGUUGGCAAACAUUUCCAGCUCUAUAUUGAUCUUUAGAAAGUUAAAAAGUACAUAUAAAAUUAGUGCAAAUGUAAUCUUAAAACCUUCUUGAAAACUAAUAUUGAAAAAUCUCUGUUGCAAUGACUUUGGAGCUUUCUGAUGAAAAGGAUAACCAGCCUGACAUUUCCUGUUCUGUCAUCUCAUUUUUAUAUUUCACUAUAAUUUUUUUGAAUAUUAAAACAUACAUAAAUAAUGUAAGAAUAUAUUAAAGAAUAUAUAAAAUGCAGAAUAUUAAUAUUAAAAGAAUCGGGGGGGGGGGGGUUAACUAAUAAAAUGCAGCGAUCUGGUAAUUCUGGUUAUGUGAUGCUACUUCAUUGUUUAAGCACACUGGGUUAUGAUUGCAGACAUCUCUAACUGAUGCCAUUCUUUUACCCCUGUGGACUAAAGAUGUCAAUUUAUCUUCCAGUAUCACUUUUGCUACAUUAGGGCACCGAUCUGUUUUUAACUGUUCAUUUUUAGAGCAUGGUCACUUAUUAUCUAAAAUUAAGGCAUUAAAAUUUCAUCAAUCAGUCCUUUAAAAGUGUUAAAAAUACUAGAUGUCAGAGAUGUUAUUUUCUGUAUCGUAAGGUUAGCCAAAAUGCUCAUGAGUAGCUUGAUCUGCUAGCUGACAAUAGGAUUGUGAAGUGUAAAUUAAAUGAAAACUGAAUUUCAGCCAAAAUUUUGUGGGAUUAAUGAAACUGGUAGUACAACUGUACACAAGGCCUGGUGUAUUUUGUAUUUCAAUAUGAAUUGCAGCAGUGAAAACCAACGUGAAGUCCAGUACAAGCAUUUCUAACAGGCUAGCUUACAUGUAUUAGUUUGCUCGUGACGCUAACAACAAAAGGGUUUUUUUUUAUGUUCAAUUAGAGCCUCAACUAAACCACAUAAACUGAUCCAAAAAAACACAUUAAUUAUUUUUCUUUUUCCUAAAUUUUGUUCUUGUUAAAUGAAUCCUAUAUUUUAUUCUGAGUCACAUUUAGCAAAGUUUUAAAUCUAACUUAAGAUAUAGGGCCAGUGCUUUAUUUUGAUUUAGCUACAUGCAUCUUAAGCGCGUUUAAACAUGAGAGGUCAAUAAAGCAAUAUGUAAUAUCUAAACCAUACUAUAUAAUCCAGUUAACUUACAGUAUCAAAAAUAUUGGUCCUUACCUACAGAAUCUACACAUUCAUAAAUAUCCUAAGAAAAGUCACUGAAAACUGUUAUUUUGUCACAAAUUUGAGUAUUAAAAUUAUUGGAUAGUAAGAAAGUGUUUGUGGGACUUGAACUGUUGUUUAGGAAAGGAAGGAAAGUGUCACCCAGUGCAAGCGUGUGGUUCACUGAUGAAUUUUAAAUCGUUUCUGGGCAGCAGUUUUGAAUACACAGAGAAUACUUAAAUCCACUCUUUGUUUAGUUCUUUUAUUGGCUUCCAAAUAGGAAUAGUGCAGAACAUGGCCAGCCCUAUCCUUUAAAGUACAUGGCUGAAAGAGUUCUCUUUAAUGACAGCCUGCUACUUAAAUGUACACUGCUAUACAUUAGGUUGUAAAGCUUUGAAAAUAGGCAAGAAUUUGUUUCUUAUAUCAACCAUGGAGGUGAUGAUUAUAGUCCUUGUUAUCUGAUAUCUGAAAAACCUCCUGCUUUUAUUAUAGUACAAAACCUCUGUGCCUAUUUUGUUCUGGCAAGUUUAUAAACAUGCAAAUUAUUUGCAAAUAUUCUAACCCGGUCUGAUUUUAUCCAGAUACAGUUGUAAUUUUUUUCUCUUAAUUGUGCAAUGUACUUGAUGGAUCUCACAGGAUUUUAGACCAUAAAGGUGUGACUCUGUUCUUCAUCAGGGCAACAAUAGAUUGCUUGUUGUCUCAUUGCAAGUUGCUAUAUUGGGGCAGAGAUUUGUGUUUAUGUCAAAGACCUUAUUUUCAAACCUCCAGUGAGCCCUACGUAACCAGGGUGCCAAGUUUUCCUCUUCCAGUUUUCUAAAGCUCCCCUCCCAUCCCCCUCUGGACAUGUCCUCUUUGCAUGUUCUCAAAAGAAAAUGUGCAUGUGCUAAAAGAAAAAAGAAAAAAAAGAAACAAAGAUAAUAAUAAUAAUAGAAGUAUUGUUUGGCUUCAUUAUGUCCAUGAUUUGUACAAUUCGUUCCUUGGUUGUAUUUUCUGAUUAUCUAAACAAACGAUGUAUCGGUUUCAGGUAAAGAAAAAAAAAGAAAACAAGCUUGAAUAACAUUUUCUCACAGAACCACCAAAGUGGAAGCAGAUUAGAGGUUCUGGAGUGGCUGAUCCUUCGCUGCCUGAUCUGUUACUUGACUGUCCUGCAGUCAUUUGGACUCUACCUAUAGAUUUUGUAUGAAUAUAAGUCAUUGAAUAAAGAGGUAUGAUUAUGAAA